GUGCUCACUUCAGCACCACAUAUAAUAAGAUUGGAUUGAUACAGAGAUUAGCAUGGCCCAUGUGCAAGGAUGACACACAAAUUCAUGAAGCAUUCCAUUUUUUU